UCUGAUUUCCUAAACCAGCUUCCAAAGUCACAGGAUAAUCCAGCCCCUUGUCCUGGAUUCCUCCCUGGUCUCUGAAUGCUUUUCUUCUACCUUUCCAUUUGGUUAAGAUCUGGAAUCUCCCUAGAUCUGCUAUUCUGUAGUGAUGAUUAUGCUGAAAAUUAGAACACUGGGGCUGACUUUUCAUUAUCCUGGGGGAGAUCUUAGUCAGCUACACCAUCAAUACACACCUCUCCCAGUUGGAGGAAGCUGGGGGAAAUCACAGCACUGUUCUGCUUUCACCACAUAUCUGUAAAACUUGCUAGGAAAUAGUGCUUAAGCAAGCUGUGCAGUCAGGCUUGCAUUAACAUGGGUAUUAGCUGUAGAAUGAGGGAGGCAGUUGCCUCUUGACUUCAUAACUCUGUGGUAGUUAAAUGGAGCAAGAGAGACUAUAUUCUUUUAGAAUUUGGAAGACUAAAGAAUGCCAUAGACAGUUACUACAGUCGGAACCCUGCCCCUGAAGGCCUCAAGUCAAAGUUCUAGAGUGGCAGAGUCAGCCUUUACCAAUAGAUCUUCACCAUUAACAGCAUGAGAAAGGAGGCACCAGUCCAUGGAGAAAGAAGCUGCCACUGUGUAUCAUAGGUUGGCUUUGUGCUCAUGGCCUACAUCAGUUUUUUGAGUCUCGGGACACAGACAUGCUUUUGUGCAUCUCUCAAUGUUCUAGCGAUUGUGAGGUACUCUUGGUUGGAAAUUUUAGGAAGCCUCACUAAGGUGAGACACUACGAUCCCAUCCUGUUGCUUCUCUCUCUGAGUCAGCACCAGGUGCCUGAGGGACUCAAUAAAACCUCUACUCCUUGUCACUAUCCUGUCAUGCGCCAGCCAUCUAUCUCACAUGUCAGAAUCAAGCCCUCUCUCUGGCAGAGAACCACCUGAAGAUGGCAAACAGCUAAAAGUCACAGAGCCCUGUAUCAUCUACCUGGAUCAUAUAACCAAUCCCACAGGGAGAGCUGUUGACUGUCAGCAACUGAAUUGAACCCUUGCAGGCAGUACUGACCAGGUCCUUAAGGACUACACAGAUGAUCCAGAGAAACUGAAGGGCUCACUCAAGCUCUACAGCAGGCGAUGACUGACUCAGGAUUUGAGCCAGCUCUUCAGGCUCCCUGUCCUCUGCUCCCCCUCCUCCUUGGACUCUUCAUGGAUUCCUAGGAUAGUGCAGCGUAUGCCUUACUUUGUCACCCCAGAAACCCUUCAUGGACUAGCAAGAUGAGUAAAGGUGGUUGCUGUCAAGCCUGAUGUCAUGACUUCAGUGGAUGGAAAGAACUCACUCCUGUAAGUUGUCCUCUGACCUCUGCACAUGUCACAUGUGUGGGCACCCACAGGUGCACAUGCCCCUACUAAACAAAUAAAUGUAAAACAUUUU